CCUUAGAUAGCUCAGUUGGCAGAAUGGGGGACGGCAGUUGUUGACAGCAAUCAUCCAUAGGUCACUGGUUUGAAUCCAGUUCGAAGGA